rnacentral:rRNA from 1 species
GACGAACGCUGGCGGCGUGCUUAACACAUGCAAGUCGAACGGAAAGGCCCUGCUUUUGUGGGGUGCUCGAGUGGCGAACGGGUGAGUAACACGUGAGUAACCUGCCCUUGACUUUGGGAUAACUUCAGGAAACUGGGGCUAAUACCGGAUAGGAGCUCCUGCUGCAUGGUGGGGGUUGGAAAGUUUCGGCGGUUGGGGAUGGACUCGCGGCUUAUCAGCUUGUUGGUGGGGUAGUGGCUUACCAAGGCUUUGACGGGUAGCCGGCCUGAGAGGGUGACCGGCAACAUUGGGACUGAGAGACGGCCAAGACUCCUACGGGAGGAAGAAGGGGGGAAUAUUGAACAAGGGGCGGAAGCCUGAUGCAGCAACGCCGCGUGCGGGAUGACGGCCUUCGGGUUGUAAACCGCUUUCGCCUGUGACGAAGCGUGAGUGACGGUAAUGGGUAAAGAAGCACCGGCUAACUACGUG